rnacentral:rRNA from 1 species
AGGGCGGGACACGUGAUAUCCUGUCUGAAUAUGGGGGGACCAUCCUCCAAGGCUAAAUACUACUGACUGACCGAUAGUGAACCAGUACCGUGAGGGAAAGGCGAAAAGAACCCCUGUGAGGGGAGUGAAAUAGAACCUGAAACCGUGUACGUACAAGCAGUAGGAGCAGGCUUUGUCCUGUGACUGCGUACCUUUUGUAUAAUGGGUCAGCGACUUAUAUUCAGUGGCAAGGUUAACCAUCUAGGGGAGCCGUAGGGAAACCGAGUCUUAACUGGGCGUUCAGUCUCUGGAUAUAGACCCGAAACCAGGUGAUCUAGCCAUGGGCAGGUUGAAGGUUGAGUAACAUCAACUGGAGGACCGAACCGACUAAUGUUGAAAAAUUAGCGGAUGACUUGUGGCUAGGGGUGAAAGGCCAAUCAAACCUGGAGAUAGCUGGUUCUCCCCGAAAGCUAUUUAGGUAGCGCCUCGGACGAAUACUACUGGGGGUAGAGCACUGUUAAGGCUAGGGGGUCAUCCCGACUUACCAACCCUUUGCAAACUCCGAAUACCAGUAAGUACUAUCCGGGAGACACACGGCGGGUGCUAACGUCCGUCGUGGAGAGGGAAACAACCCAGACCGCCAGCUAAGGUCCCAAAUUACUACUAAGUGGGAAACGAUGUGGGAAGGCUCAGACAGCCAGGAUGUUGGCUUAGAAGCAGCCAUCAUUUAAAGAAAGCGUAAUAGCUCACUGGUCGAGUCGGCCUGCGCGGAAGAUGUAACGGGGCUAAGUAGUAAACCGAAGCUGCGGCAAUGUGCUUUUGCACAUUGGGUAGGGGAGCGUUCUGUAAGCGGUUGAAGGUGUGUGGUAACGCAUGCUGGACGUAUCAGAAGUGCGAAUGCUGACAUGAGUAACGAUAAAGGGGGUGAAAAACCUCCUCGCCGGAAGACCAAGGGUUCCUGUCCAACGUUAAUCGGGGCAGGGUAAGUCGACCCCUAAGGCGAGGCCGAAAGGCGUAGUCGAUGGGAAACGGGUUAAUAUUCCCGUACUUCUUACAAUUGCGAUGGGGGGACGGAGAAGGCUAGGUGGGCCUGGCGACGGUUGUCCAGGUUCAAGUGCGUAGGCUUAAGAGUUAGGUAAAUCCGGCUCUUUUUAAGGCUGAGACACGACGUCGAGCACCUACGGGUGUGAAGUCAUUGAUGCCAUGCUUCCAGGAAAAGCCUCUAAGCUUCAGAUUGUAAGGAAUCGUACCCCAAACCGACACAGGUGGUCGGGUAGAGAAUACCAAGGCGCUUGAGAGAACUCGGGUGAAGGAACUAGGCAAAAUGGUACCGUAA